AAUAGAUACCCAGGUAGUCCACGCCGUAAACGUUGGGUACUAGGUGUGGCGUCCCGAUUAACGGAUGCCGUGCCGAAGCUAACGCAUUAAGUACCCCGCCUGGGGAGUACGGCCGCAAGGCUAAAACUCAAAGGAAUUGACGGGUCCCCGCACAAGCGGCGGAGCAUGCGGCUUAAUUCGAUGCAACCCGAAGAACCUUACCUGGACUUGACAUCAUGGGAAAAGCCGUAGAAAUACGGUGUCCGUAAGGGCCCAUGACAGGUGGUGCAUGGCUGUCGUCAGCUCGUGUCGUGAGAUGUUGGGUUAAGUCCCGCAACGAGCGCAACCCUUGUCCUAUGUUGCCAGCACGUUAUGGUGGGGACUCAUAGGAGACCGCCGGGGACAACUCGGAGGAAGGUGAGGACGACGUCAAGUCAUCAUGCCCCUUAUGUCCAGGGCUGCACGCAUGCUACAAUGGCCGGUACAAUAGGCAGCGAACUCGCGAGGGUGAGCGAAUCCUUUAAAGCCGGCCUCAGUUCGGAUUGGAGU
rnacentral:rRNA from 1 species